GACGAACGCUGGCGGCGUGCUUAACACAUGCAAGUCGAACGGAAAGGCCCUGCUUUUGUGGGGUGCUCGAGUGGCGAACGGGUGAGUAACACGUGAGUAACCUGCCCUUGACUUUGGGAUAACUUCAGGAAACUGGGGCUAAUACCGGAUAGGAGCUCCUGCUGCAUGGUGGGGGUUGGAAAGUUUCGGCGGUUGGGGAUGGACUCGCGGCUUAUCAGCUUGUUGGUGGGGUAGUGGCUUACCAAGGCUUUGACGGGUAGCCGGCCUGAGAAGGUGACCGGCCACAUUGGGACUGGGAUACGGCCCAGACUCCUACGGGAGGCAGCAGUGGGGAAUAUUGCACAAUGGGCGGAAGCCUGAUGCAGCAACGCCGCGUGCGGGAUGACGGCCUUCGGGUUGUAAACCGCUUUCGCCUGUGACGAAGCGUGAGUGACGGUAAUGGGUAAAGAAGCACCGGCUAACUACGUG
rnacentral:rRNA from 1 species